rnacentral:lncRNA from 1 species
GGUCUUCAUUGGCCUUCCUGACUCAUCGACAAUAGAGGUUAUGCAUUGGUAUUCAAUGGAUCCUGAUAAUGGAGGUUAUGCAUUGGUAUUCAGUAGAUCCUAUCAAGGAUAGGGAUAAAAAUGGGUUAGAUCAGAUCGAAUCAUGAGUAAUCCUGAUUCGAUCUGAUUCUUUGAUCGGAUCUUGAUACUGAAUCCAGAUCCAACCUAGUAG